UGGCUCAGUUGCUAGAGCAUGGUGUUUGCAACGCCAGGGUUGUGGGUUCGUUUCCCAU
rnacentral:tRNA from 1 species